ACGUAAUAGAUACCCAGGUAGUCCACGCCCUAAACGAUGUCUACUAGUUGUUGGUGGAGUAAAACUCCAUGAGUAAACGCAGCUAAACGCGUGAAGUAGACCGCCUGGGGAGUACGGUCGCAAGAUUAAAAACCUCAAAGGAAUUGACGGGGGCCCGCACAAGCGGUGGAUUAUGUGGAUUAAAUUCGAUGCAACGCGAAAAACCCUUACCUGGCCUUGACAUGCCACUAACGAAGCAGAGAUGCAUUAGGUGCCCGUAAGGGAAACGUGGACACAGGUGCUGCAUGGCUGUCGUCAGCUCGUGUCGUGAGAUGUUGGG
rnacentral:rRNA from 1 species